GCCGAGGUGGCGGAAUGGUAGACGCGGCGGACUUAAAAUCCGCUACCAGAAAUGGUGUGUGGGUUCGACUCCCUCCCUCGGCACCA
rnacentral:tRNA from 1 species